rfam:Desulfovibrio africanus str. Walvis Bay, complete genome.
CCUGGCGGCCAUAGAGGUGGGGCCACACCCGAUCCCAUUCCGAACUCGGCAGUUAAGACCACCCUCGCCGAUGAUACUUGGAGUCCACUCCUGGGAAAGUAGGUCGCCGCCAGGU